UUUUUUUUUUUUCAACGUUUAUUUAUUUUUGGGACAGAGAGAGACAGAGCAUGAACGGGGGAGGGGCAGAGAGAGAGGGAGACACAGAAUCGGAAACAGGCUCCAGGCUCUGAGCCAUCAGCCCAGAGCCCGACGCGGGGCUCCAACUCACGGACCGCGAGAUCGUGACCUGGCUGAAGUCGGACGCUUAACCGACUGCGCCACCCAGGCGCCCCAAGGACAACAGCUUUUUAAAGGAGUUAACUGUGCAGGUGGAGCAUCCUAGCUGGGUCCUGGCCAAGGUGUCUUCUCAAACAGAUGUGAGUUAGAGGCCCAGUCAGCCUUCUCUUUCCUUUCCUUUUACCUUUUUCUUGGCCAUUCCUUCUUUCUCUUUUUCUCAUUUUCUUCCUUCCUUCUCUCUCGCUUCCCAUCUCCCCCUUUCCCUCCAGGUCCCGCUCUCUUGGACAGCAGGAUCCUGGUGAGUUUGUUUUGUUUUUUUUUUUUCAUCAUCUCAUCUGGUAAAAUAUGGAUCAUUCACCUUCCAUUCUCGGGGUUAUUUUCUAAGCGUUUCUUCCACGUAGCUGUACAACCUUCUUCCUUGUUAAUGGCUACGUGAUGUGCCACCAAGUACUCUCACUUGCAUAACGGGCUCCCUGUUGUGGAACACUAGGUAGUUUCGAGGUUUUGUAUCCUUACAGGUGAAAGUAUUCGUUUUUUCUGGUCUGCCGUGUGUGGGGCUCGUGGGUCCAAGUUAAGUGGGGGCCUGGGAGGCACGAGGUAGAUGAUUGGCAUGGGGUGGUAGUUCGUCCAGGAGCUGCUUCCUGCCUGCCCUCAUCCCCAGGGCAGCUCGGAGUAUACAGCAGGUGCCUCAUGAAUGCUGCCUGAGGAUGCCUCUCGGCCUCUAUUCCUGCACCUGGCAUACUGCCUCAGUGCGCUCUCCAUUGAAGCGUCCUCUUUCCCACCUGGCCGUGACCUUCCAUAGCCUUUUUAUCUCUAUGUCCCCCGUGCCUGGCACCAGGAAGCCCCUCAGGAAUGGAAGGGAAGGAAACAAAGUAAACGAAGAGGAAGCCAGAGAAUGCUCACCUACUCUGGCCACCCCUCAUUAAUAGGGACUGGGAUUGCCGUGGGACAUUAGUGACAGAACAUGUUGACAUUGUGUAAUUUAUUAGCCUGAACUAUACAAAUUAUACCUUCCCCCAGGAUGCCUGCGACGAGAAGCUGCUUUUCAUGAGUUUAUCCUGGGGACUCGAAUAAAUAAGCAGAGAAACAAAAAAACCUCAUGAAUUUUUUAAAGAGCUUAUUGGAAUCAGGAGAAAACCUGGUGUUCCGGGUGCAGAAUUUCCUGGAUCCGUUGGGGACGGCUCUGCGGGUUGGGUUUAACCAUCUCCCUUGUCUUUUAUCCUGGGACCGGUGCUCACCUAAGACAUGCUCCUCUGAAGGCAGGGAACAGAAAUUUCAAGAGAGGCGAGUGAAAACUCAGGCCCCGCCUAAGGCUUGCGCUCAGAACUGGCCCACAGUUAUCUCAAAAUAUCCCAUCGGCCAAAGCUAGUCACACGGCCCAGCCCAAUAGCACGGGUAGAGAAAGGCGGAAGAAUUGUGUCACUCCCACAGCUGCCAGGAUUCCUAGCGUGGCUGCUGGCCAUAUGAUUCCACCACCUACCCAACAUUGCCUUCCGUAUUUCACACAGAAGGCUGUCUCCAAUCACAGAGCAUCUUAGAGAUUGGUGACUGUCCAUAGGACACUGUAUGUUUUGUAUCAGUGGGGUUCUGACGAGGUAGUCUCUAGCUGAAUUUCCGGACCAAGAUUAAUUUGCUGCUGGAAUGUGAAGACAGCCACCCUCACACGCCCACCGCGGGUCCAGCGGGAGGGAAAAUAAGGAGACAGCCCCCGUGUUGGAUAAUGACCGCCCAAAUUCCAAUACUCAGGGCCCGACAUUGCCCGUUCAGUUUCCUCUGGCUGAAAUUCUUGGUUGUUCCGCUGCUAAAACCAGGGUGGCUAUUUACUCUGGGCACCAAUGGCUGUUCUUAGCCAUAUUGAUAAACAAGGCUUCCAAAAUCAUCUCAAUACCAGGAACAGUUCAUUUAAAACAGAAGCAGCAACACCACCAAUGACAAAAUCGACAGGUCAGUCCUGUGGUGUCCACCCUCGCCCAGGGGAGCCUGGUGAUGAGUUGAGGAGUAUUUUUGGACACAGACAACAGCAGGCCUGGCCCAGAUCCACUCAUUCCUUCAGUAGAGCUUCCCAGGGAGUUCCACUUAUUUCCCAAUUUGUUCCAGCCACAUCACCUUUUGUGGCUUCGUUUGGGCAUUGAGGUCAUCGAGAGAUGACUGACUUGGGCAAAGCAGAGAGUAGGGGGAGGAAAGAUUCUUCACUUACUCACCCACUCACUAAUUGCUGAGUGUCUUCAGGGUCCUGAGCUGGGGGUUCAAAGCUGAAGGAAGCAGAAGGUCCACUGUGCUGGCCGUUUGGCGCGGCAGAUCCUCCUUCCACGUGUCUUUUUUAGGGUAGAUGGUUGGCUUCCCAUCAGCCCCCGCGCGGCAGAUGAUUGGUUCAAGCUAAUCCUGGCCGUGCGAUUCUCUUGCGGAUAAUUGGUUGAGGGGUUAGCAUGUGACCCAGUUCUGCCCAAUGAGAAGUGAGGGAGAAAUCUGUCCGUGGCCUUUGAGAAACUUUCCCUCACGACUAAGAAGGAGCUGGAGGAAGGGGUGGGUGCUGCUCCCCAGCGUUUGCAGUAUGUGCAGGUGUGACAGCCGCACUUUUGACAGCCAUCUUGCCACGUGCUGCAAUGUAAGAGAUGAAACUCGCUCUGGCAAUGGCAGAAUGGAGAGAUGGGGACUAUAUCCUCCCUGAUAUCAUUGAGUUGCUAAGUCCUUUUUUUUUUUUUUUUAAUGUUCUUAUUUAUUUUUGAAGGACACAGAGAGACAGAGCAUGAGCAGGGGAGGAGCAGAGAGAGAGGGAGACACAGAAUCCGAAGCAGGCUCCAGGCUCCAAGCCGUCAGCACAGAGCCCGACGCGGGGCUCGAACUCACGAACCGUGAGACCAUGACCUGAGCCGAAGUCGGCCGCCCAACCGACUGAGCCACCCAGGCGCCCCGAGCUGCCAAGUCUUUAAGUGCAAAGGCCACUCUAUCCUUGGACUUCCCACUCUGCGGGCAGCUGCCAUUAAGAAGUGGAAUCUGUUUCCUUAAAAGCCCUUGAACCUGGGCUAGCCCUGGCACUUGUUUUGACUUCCAGCAUAUGGCAGAAGUGGAUAUGGUGGCUCCCAGCACGGGGGUCACAAGGACUGGGAUACUUCCCACCCUCUGGUUUGGAAUCUUGACCGACCACCAUGAGGACCAGCCUGAGCUAGACUUCUAGAGGAUGGGAGACCCCCGGGUGACCCCCAAGUAUGUAAGAAAGCUCAACCCAGCCCAGCCAGCGGAGCCACCGACACGACUCCACCUGUCCUCGGACCCAUCAGUGAGCCCAGCUGGGGCCAGAAGAACCUCCGGCUGACCUGCAGACAGUGAGCAAAAUAAUCGUUUAUGGUUUUAAGCCAGGAGCUUUGGAGUAGUUCGUUAGGCGGCAAUAGCUAACCGAUAACAGUGUAUGUGUGAUAUAAUGAUGUAAGAAUAAUAGAAUUGUAGGAAGAACGAUCACAUAACCACAUCGCCAAGGACUGUGCAGGUGAUGCUCCCUGUCUCUAUUUGUAUCGGUAUUUAAUGAUCACAACGACCCAUCUCAUCCGACGGGGGAGGGAACUCAGGCUUGGUACAGGUUUGUCUUAAUUGUCUGUCGUCAGAGGCCAGGAUUGGAACUUAGCUCUCUCUGACUCCAGAGUUUGCCUUGUACUGUCUCCUAAGGGCACCGACUAAUCCACAGAGAAGCUGUUCCCAGGGCAAGGCCAGGUUCCCCAGGCGGCCCGGAAGGCCCCCCACCCCAUGACCUAGCCCCCCGGUUCCCCCUUUUGAUGUUUCUCCAAAACCAUCCAUACCUUUGCCCAAGCCAUUCUCUCUCCCUGGGGUUGACCUUCCUUUCUUUUCUACCCAAAAAAACUCUUAUGCGACCUUCAAGACCCAGCUCUGUCUCACUCUUAUUGACUCUUAGAUACAAGUCAUAAAAAGUCCCUUUUUCAAAUAGGCACAGCCCCGAAGCACAGUUGAUGUCCCACAUGAAUGGAACUCCAGAGGUGAGGGAGGAAGGAGAGUCCCAGUGUGGUUGAGACAGCUGUUCUGUGGUGUUCUCGAGGGUCCCCCAUCCCUGCCAUGUCUUUGCUCUGUCAGCUGCCCUCACAGCGGGUUGCAGGAGAGCGGCUGUAGACCUGGCUUUGCAUCCAGACCCAGCCACGUCCAGAGAAAUCAGAGGGUUAUUUCUUUUUAACCUUGAGUCUCAUUUUGAGAGUCAAGGAGGCCCCUCUGUGCAGCCUCCAGGCAGAUUUCCCUCAAGUCUCCUUGGCCAGGACUGGGUCAUGUGUCCUUCUCCGAGCCAAUCGCUGGCAGGAAUAGGAUUGUAUCGCUAUCAUUGACUUUGACACAUCCAGUCAUCCCUGAUGGGUCAACCACCAUGGCCAUGAGCCAUGUCCUCAGGAAGUUGCCUUUGACUCUUGAGGCUGGAGCAGGUGCCUCCAUUGGGGUUCUCAGAGCUCGCCAACCUUGCCCAUUAUAACACAGCAGGGCCCCUAGAACGUGGCCUCCUCCAGCACAGCUGGGGUCGCCGUGUGUUACAGGGGCUGCUUCUUUGGUAAGGCAUCCCCUCUAACUUAGCUCUAUCAUCCUCAUCCGUUGUCUCCUGCACAACCCCCCCCCCCCAAUGCUCCCACACUUAGAAUUACUUACCCGACAUCCUGCGCCAAAUAUGAACUUCAUGACAGCAGGUGUUGUUACCGCCUCCUUUGCUGUAUUGUCAGCCCCCAGCAGAGUCCCUGUCCCACUGAAGUGCCCAAUAAAUAUUUGUUUUGCCCGUGGCUUAUUUGCUAAGACUGGAACUCUGGAUCAAUGCAGGAGAAGGAGCUGCAAGAGAAAUAUUGGGGUGUCAUCUUCAAGGGCACCUUUGUGCAGAUUUCCACCAGGGAUGGCUUGAGCCUCAGCUGGAUGCCCACUGAGGCUUCACCAGCCAUGAGGCACCAUCACUUUCAUGGCCCCGAAUAAUAGUCAACAACUGCGGGUGUACAUGGCUCACAAAGGGUCUGCCCACGUGUUAGCCCUCUGAUCCUUAGGGCAACUCCCAGAGCCA